CAACACAAACUGAAGCAGCAGGUGGGUGGGAUGAGGAAUUCCGUACUGCCUUGAGAAGGUCGUGGGUGUGCCCGAAGAUGGAAUGAAAAAACACAGAGGUGUGGCAGCAGAGCUGGCUGACCUAUGGCAAUGGUUAAACCUGGGCACCAAUUCCAGUGAGCGCCGCCUCCGGAGCAGGAAUACGUGCAGCAGCUCUCGCCCCUUGUAAUUCAUCAAGUAAAUACUGCAGGGGGUAUAAUCAGCAGAAUUAAUUCAGUUAGACUGUGUCAGAGCCUGCCAAAAACCUGUGCUUGAUGGUUCACUUCUUCAUGAGCAUUUCCAGCAAGUGUGUCUCUAGUGCUAAGAGGCUCGGGUGCUGCUGCUGCUGCAUGAGAAGCCACAGGAAUAUGCUGAGUCUUGCAAAUGCAUCCAUUUUACAGUCUAUGAAAUUCAUGCUAAUUGAUCUGAAGGAAAAGGCAGCUCCCAUCCCAUUGCCAUGUCUUCCAAGCACCUUUUAUGAACCAGCAAAAUCAAUAUGUUUCUGUAAAUAAAAUGUGAACUAUA